CCUACGGGCGGCAGCAGUAGGGAAUAUUGCUCAAUGGGGGAAACCCUGAAGCAGCAACGCCGCGUGGAGGAUGAGGGUUUUCGGAUUGGAAACUCCUUUUGUUAGAGAAGAGAAUGACGGUAUCUAACGAAUAAGCACCGGCUAACUCCGUGCCAGCAGCCGCGGUAAUACGGAGGGUGCAAGCGUUACUCGGAAUCACUGGGCGUAAAGAGCGCGUAGGCGGGAUAGCAAGUCAGAUGUGAAAUCCUAUGGCUUAACCAUAGAACUGCAUUUGAAACUGUUAUUCUAGAGUAUGGGAGAGGUAGGUGGAAUUCUUGGUGUAGCGGUGAAAUCCGUAGAGAUCAAGAGGAAUACUCAUUGCGAAGGCGACCUGCUAGAACAUAACUGACGCUGAUGCGCGAAAGCGUGGGGAGCAAACAGGAUUAGAUACCCGGGUAGUC
rnacentral:rRNA from 1 species